rnacentral:rRNA from 1 species
CGUAGGGAGCAAGCGUUGUUCGGAUUUACUGGGCGUAAAGGGCGCGUAGGCGGCGCGGUAAGUCACUUGUGAAAUCUCUGAGCUUAACUCAGAACGGCCAAGUGAUACUGCAGUGCUAGAGUGCAGAAAGGGCAAUCGGAAUUCUUGGUGUAGCGGUGAAAUGCGUAGAUAUCAAGAGGAACACCUGAGGCGAAGGCGGGUUGCUAGGCUGACACUGACGCUGAGGCGCGAAAGCCAGGGGAGCAAACGGGAUUAGAUACCCCGGUAGUCCUGGCCCUAAACGAUGAAUACUUGGUGUCUGGAGUUCUGAUACUCCGGGUGCCGUCGCUAACGUUUUUAGUAUUCCGCCUGGGGAGUACGCUCGCAAGAGUG